CAGUCGCCACGGUAAAACGUAGGGUGCAAGCGUUAAUCGGAAUUACUGGGCGUAAAGCGUGCGCAGGCGGUUUGUUAAGACAGAUGUGAAAUCCCCGGGCUCAACCUGGGAACUGCAUUUGUGAUUGGCAAGCUAGAGUGUGGCAGAGGGGGGUGGAAUUCCGCGUGUAGCAGUGAAAUGCGUAGAUAUGCGGAGGAACACCGAUGGCGAAGGCAGCCCCCUGGGCCAACACUGACGCUCAUGCACGAAAGCGUGGGGAGCAAACAGGAUUAGAUACCCGUGUAGUCCCUGUCUCUUAUAC
rnacentral:rRNA from 1 species